AAAAUCCAGGGCUUAAACUACUCCUAGGAACCAAUUUUUUAAAUGUUUUGUGUGAGACCUAACUAACUCCAUUUUAAAGUUUGACUCCAUCUUAAAUAUAAGACAGUAAAGUGGCCUUGACAUAAAUUUCACUUCACUGAAGUCAACUAUUCCCCUAGUCUCCUUUGUGCCCAUAAACUAAGGAUAAAAUGUCCUUGCUGUGGGACAACAGAUAAAAAAAAGAGACACAGCUCCUAACUCAAUCCUCUGUCUGCCCAGAAAACAGAUGCUCCCGGGCCCAUUAUCUAUAGAACAUUCUGUCAAUGUGCUGAUUGUUCCUUUUUCCGAUAAACUCUACAUGUAGCCACCCCUCAACCCCCCAUGCUUGGUAAAUAUCAACCAAUCAUGUAACUGCUAAAUGAAACAUCCCC
rnacentral:lncRNA from 1 species